rnacentral:rRNA from 1 species
AUGAACGCUGGCGGCGUGCCUAAUCCCUGCAAGUCGAGCCAACAGGCGAGGAGCUUGCUCCUCUGACGUUAGCGGCGGACGGGUGAGUAACACGUGGAUAACCUACCUAUAAGACUGGGAUAACUUCGGGAAACCGGAGCUAAUACCGGAUAAUAUAUUGAACCGCAUGGUUCAAUAGUGAAAGACGGUUUUGCUGUCACUUAUAGAUGGAUCCGCGCCGCAUUAGCUAGUUGGUAAGGUAACGGCUUACCAAGGCAACGAUGCGUAGCCGACCUGAGAGGGUGAUCGGCCACACUGGAACUGAGACACGGUCCAGACUCCUACGGGAGGCAGCAGUAGGGAAUCUUCCGCAAUGGGCGAAAGCCUGACGGAGCAACGCCGCGUGAGUGAUGAAGGUCUUCGGAUCGUAAAACUCUGUUAUUAGGGAAGAACAAAUGUGUAAGUAACUAUGCACGUCUUGACGGUACCUAAUCAGAAAGCCACGGCUAACUACGUA